GUAAUAUGUAAUUAGGUUAAUUGUAGUAUAGCUGUAAUGGAAAAAUGUAGUGUAGUUGUUGUGCCAGAUUUUAGCAUAUAUCUAAUGACAAUCUAGAUUGUAUAUAUAUAGUUGUUGUACUCGUAGAUUCACAUGGCUUCGAAGUGUCAUGGUGUGAGACAGAAAGGGAAAAAGUAUUAUGCAACCAUCAGGAAGGACAAUGUCGUCCACGAACUUAGCCACUCGGACAUCCUAGAGUUAGCGGCACACACCUAUCAAGCAAAGACGAUCGAGUAUCAUAAGGAAGAUGUGAUUCUAAACUUCCCUGAUUCUCGGGAGUACGAGUUACUCAUGCCAGAGAACAUAAGGAUAUGCACAAGGGCUGAGAAGGAGGAGAACCUCCAAGCCGAGCAACACUCGUUUGACUCAUUAAUGAUAGAGCUUGCGAGAGAUGAGACACUCGUAGAGACCAACAAGAUGAUGAUCCUUUAAUAUGCAGCAAGGAAGAGCGCACAAGAGGAGGAGGAGGUUCGGCCGCUGCAAUGUUGCCGUAGGUCCGUCGGGGACGAUCACGAGGCCGUCCCGUGUGGCCAGUAGAUUGCUAGAUGGGUAGCACUAGCUAUAUGAAUAACCAUUUAAC
rnacentral:lncRNA from 1 species